CGGGGAAGGUGUGGGCAGGAUGGAGGCGCGGAGCCCGCUGAGCAACAGGGAUCUGGAAGCUGGGAGGAGCUAGGAGGAGGAGGAGGAGGAGGAGCUGACGUGGAAUCGGCUUUUUCCCCCUGCCUGGCAGCUUCCAGAGUCGGCGCCCCUGAGCCUGAAGCCGAACCCCGCUUCUUGCCAAGUCGAGUCUUCGUUCACAGUUCGGGCGUUUCCCUUCGGGCCGGCUGAUGGCUUUUGCAUGCGUCCCAUUCUCCAGCCUUAAUGUGGUUUCAUUCAUUCGCUCUGGCUCUCGCUGUGUCGUUCUGCCCCGGAAAUUCAGAUGUCGGGAAUAAAAAAAAAAAAAAAAAAAAAACGUAGGCGACGCUGUUUUCGUACGAAUUUGAAUCCUUAAUAAGAAAUAAUAAGAGAAACGCACGGGAUUGUGUUUACGUCUAGAGGCGGCUUCCUCUCCGAGUUUAUUUAAAGCUUUUCUACAACACGACAGAAGGAAUCCCAGGUCCAGGGCUGUGGCUGGGCGGCGCACACUUCCCGUGUGGGGCCCAGGGUUCGCGCCGCCGCACCGCAGCCGUAGAAAACAAUAAGCGGGAGCACAAGGGAGUCUCAGAAUUCUAUUUUUAUGUACUGCGUUGACCUUUGGAUGGUAGAGUUAGAAGGAAAUGCAUUGUCUUUGUUAGAGUUUAAAUACAAAAAUGUUUGGGAACCGCCUUGGAGUUUUUAAAUUGCAUUUUUGCUCUAAGGAACCUCAGUAUUCUGUCCUUAAACGAUAAUUAGCAUGUACUAAAGUGUUUUAAGCGGACGAAGGGCAGACUUUCGUAAAGAAUAAGGGCGAGGAGGGUAAUAUUAAUAAGCAUUGGAUACCACAAAUGUAUCAAGGAGUAUUUUGACCUACUUUGCAAGAGCGUCCUAAUGCAGUGAUUAGUGGGUGGAACUUUUGUAAAUAAUAAAAAUAAGCUACUGAUACUACUAAGCUUUAUGUAGACUUAGAAUUAAAGACAAUGCAAAUUACAGAGCCCUAAACUUAAAGGUUCAAAUUUUAUAUUUAUGACAUAAGAUUUAUAAAUCUGUGGUUAUGUUUUGCUUCCCGAGACCUGAAGAGUGAUGACUCCUAAGUUCCACGGCCUAUUCUAGGUUAACUCCUGAGGAAUAACGAAUUAUACUAUUUUAUAAUAAUGGUAGUGGGAUUUGCCUAUUCCCUUGACAGCCCAGCAAUGAUUAUGUAAAACCAUGUCACCUUCCCCUCCCCCUCCUGUAACUGAUCUUUAACCUUAAUAAAUGUAUGUUUACUAUA